AUUGAACGCUGGCGGCAGGCCUAACACAUGCAAGUCGAGCGAGCGGCGGACGGGUGAGUAAUGUAUGGGGACUGCCCGAUAGAGGGGGAUAACUACUGGAAACGGUGGCUAAUACCGCAUACUAUCGGAUAACCCAUAUGGGAUUAGCUAGUAGGUGGGGUAAAGGCUCACCUAGGCGACGAUCUCUAGCUGGUCUGAGAGGAUGAUCAGCCACACUGGGACUGAGACACGGCCCAGACUCCUACGGAGGCAGCAGUAGGGAAUCUUGGGCAAUGGGCGCAAGGCUGAUGCAGCAACGCCGCGUGUAUGAAGAAGGUCUUCGGGUCGUAAAGCACUGUCAUCGGGGAAGCGGUAUCUGAAGAGGAAGCAACGGCUAACUACGUGCCAGCAGCCGCGGUAAUAC
rnacentral:rRNA from 1 species